UUGUGAUAACGCCGUGACAUUUAACGCAUUUGUGCUUCUUAGUAUCGGACAAAUGGACAUAAAUAGCUUUUAUGACUCAUAUAAUUUUCAGUACAUUAACCCGCAGCCCUUUUAAGUACCCCGUGAACAUGAACAAUGGAAUCUUAACGGACAAGAGCAUAAGGCAGCUGAGCACUUUCACUGUUCGCCGGCCAAGCGACGACAUGAGGGAGAUGAAGGUUGUAUCGUUACUCAUGGAAGAUUUAUGGAUGAGUACUAUCACAAGAAAAGGAAGGUGUUGUAGCGGAGCUCAAACAAAAGGAAAAAACUUGACCACUAAAUGGAAAGGAAAAAAGGAGAAGAAAAAAAUAUUUUGUACAAUCCUCGAAUCUGGUUUUCACUGUGCUAAUUGUAGGGCUCUUGUUGACACGCCCUUUCUCUAAUCAGUCUAAUUUGGAAUUAGAAAACUUUUAUCUGA